AUAGGAUCCAACUUCACAAUCAACCUGCACAUUAAGUACGAACAAUAUUAACGUUUCAAGUUUCAAACUUGAACAUAAAGACUGCUUAGGUGUAACAGAAAUAGCAGUUAAAAACCAUAAAUGAGUUAUUGUACACAACUCCAAGUUACCUAUAGCACAUAAAGCGAAAACAAGGGUUCUGCAUCCACCUUUAAAUUCUAAACAGAUCCUUAAGACAUUUGUUGAUAACAAGUAAUAAAAACAAUGAUCACUCGACAUCUCAUCAUUUAUCAACCUAAAUACUUCUCCACUUAUACUGAUAACUUCACUAAACACAGUGAAUGCCAAGAUACUAGAUAGAAUUGAGGAUUUGUUGUUCAAAACG
rnacentral:misc_RNA from 1 species